CAGUCGCCGCGGGAAUACGUAGGGCGCAAGCGUUAUCCGGAAUUAUUGGGCGUAAAGAGCUCGUAGGCGGUUUGUCGCGUCUGCCGUGAAAGUCCGGGGCUCAACCCCGGAUCUGCGGUGGGUACGGGCAGACUAGAGUGAUGUAGGGGAGACUGGAAUUCCUGGUGUAGCGGUGAAAUGCGCAGAUAUCAGGAGGAACACCGAUGGCGAAGGCAGGUCUCUGGGCAUUAACUGACGCUGAGGAGCGAAAGCAUGGGGAGCGAACAGGAUUAGAUACCCGAGUAGUCCUGUCUCUUAUACA
rnacentral:rRNA from 1 species